rnacentral:rRNA from 1 species
AUUGAACGCUGGCGGCAGGCCUAACACAUGCAAGUCGAACGAGUGGCGGACGGGUGAGUAAUGUCUGGGAAACUGCCUGAUGGAGGGGGAUAACUACUGGAAACGGUAGCUAAUACCGCAUACCAUCGGAUGUGCCCAGAUGGGAUUAGCUAGUAGGUGGGGUAAAGGCUCACCUAGGCGACGAUCCCUAGCUGGUCUGAGAGGAUGACCAGCCACACUGGAACGGAGACCGGGCCCAGACUCAUACGGGAGGCGGCAGUGGGGAAUAUUGCACAAGGGGCGCAACCCUGAGGAAGCCAUGCCGCGUGAAUGAAGAAGGCCUGCGGGUUGUAAAGUUCUUUAGGUGGGGAGGCGUUACCCACAGAAGAAGCACCGGCUAACUCCGUGCCAGCCGCCGCGGUAAUUC